UAGUAAAGUCAGCUAAAU
rnacentral:tRNA from 5 species